rnacentral:rRNA from 1 species
AGAGUUUGAUCCUGGCUCAGAACGAACGCUGGCGGCGUGGCUAAGGCAUGCAAGUCGAACGGACUCCUGGAUGGGUAACCUGAAGGGAAGUUAGUGGCGAACGGGUGAGGAAUGCAUGGAUAACGUACCCCAGACACAGGGAUAGCGGCGGAACUUCGGUUCCUUUGCGAAAGUGCCGGUAAUACCUGAUGACCCCACGGUACAGCAUGGUGCGGUGGGAAAAUGCUCCGACGGUCUGGGAGCGGUUCAUGUCCUAUCAGCUUGUUGGUGGGGUAACGGCCCACCAAGGCAACGACGGGUAGCGGGCGUGAGAGCGCGUCCCGCCACAUCGGAACUGAGACACUGUCCGGACACCUACGGGUGGCUGCAGCAACGAAUAUUCCCCAAUGGACGCAAGUCUGAGGGAGCGACGCCGCGUGCAGGAAGAAGUCCUUCGGGAUGUAAACUGCUGUCAGGGGUGAGGAAGAUCUGACCAACCCCAGAGGAAGCACCGGCUAACUCCGUGCCAGCAGCCGCGGUAAUACGGAGGGUGCAAGCGUUGUUCGGAAUCACUGGGCUUAAAGCGCGUGUAGGCGGAGUAUCAGGUGCCUUGUGAAAGCCCCGGGCUCAACCCGGGAAUUGCUGGGCAAACCGGUAUUCUUGAGGCAAGUAGAGGUGAGUGGAACAACUGGUGGAGCGGUGAAAUGCGUAGAUAUCGGUUGGAACGCCGGAGGCGAAAGCGGCUCACUGGGCUUGUCCUGACGCUGAGACGCGAAGGCGUGGGUAGCAAACAGGAUUAGAUACCCUGGUAGUCCACGCCGUAAACGAUGCGCACUAGGUAUGAGAGGUUCUGACGCCGAUCGUGCCGAAGCAAAAGUGGUAAGUGCGCCGCCUGGGGAGUACGGCCGCAAGGCUAAAACUCAAAGGAAUUGACGGGGGCUCACACAAGCGGUGGAGCAUGUGGAUUAAUUCGAAACUACGCGAAGAACCUUACCUGGGUUUGACAUGCUUGGAUGCUCUCUUGGAAACAGGAGUAGGCUGCCUUCGGGUGAAACUUGCACAGGUGCUGCAUGGCUGUCGUCAGCUCGUGCUGUGAAGUGUCGGGUUAAGUCCCUUAACGAGCGAAACCCCUAUCGUUAGUUGCCAGCGGGUCAUGCCGGGGACUCUAGCGAGACCGCCGACGUCAAGUCGGAGGAAGGUGGGGACGACGGCAAGUCAUCAUGGUCCUUACGCCCAGGGUGUCUCACGUGC